rnacentral:rRNA from 1 species
ACUCCUACGGGAGGCAGCAGUGGGGAAUAUUGCACAAUGGGCGCAAGCCUGAUGCAGCCAUGCCGCGUGUAUGAAGAAGGCCUUCGGGUUGUAAAGUACUUUCAGCAGUGAGGAAGGUGGGUAUGUUAAUAGCAUACUCAUUUGACGUUAGCUGCAGAAGAAGCACCGGCUAACUCCGUGCCAGCAGCCGCGGUAAUACGGAGGGUGCGAGCGUUAAUCGGAAUUACUGGGCGUAAAGCGCAUGCAGGUGGUUUGUUAAGUCAGAUGUGAAAGCCCGGGGCUCAACCUCGGAAUUGCAUUUGAAACUGGCAAACUAGAGUACUGUAGAGGGGGGUAGAAUUUCAGGUGUAGCGGUGAAAUGCGUAGAGAUCUGAAGGAAUACCGGUGGCGAAGGCGGCCCCCUGGACAGAUACUGACACUCAGAUGCGAAAGCGUGGGGAAGCAAACAGGAUUAGAUACCCUGGUAGGCUCUAGC